rnacentral:rRNA from 1 species
UACGAAGGGUGCAAACGUUGCUCGGAAUCAUUGGGCGUAAAGCGCACGUAGGCGGCUCCAAAAGUCGGAUGUGAAAUCCCUCGGCUCAACCGAGGACGUGCAUCCGAAACUGCGGAGCUUGAGUAUGGAAGAGGGUCGCGGAAUCCCCGGUGUAGAGGUGAAAUUCGUAGAUAUCGGGGGGAACACCAGUGGCGAAGGCGGCGACCUGGGCCAAUACUGACGCUGAGGUGCGAAAGCGUGGGGAGCAAAC